rnacentral:lncRNA from 1 species
CUAGAUGCCAACAGUCUUUAGAACGUUGUUUCAUGCUUCUACUGUGAAUAUGGAGCGAACAAGAGGGCCUGGAGUCAGAUGAGUGAGGAAAUGACAUGAGCUCAGAGGCAUGCUCUCACGUGAGUGGCACCAAGAGAGUAAGAGGGUCCGUGGCACUGUUCCCUGUCAGCAGCCAGCCAACUGAUAUCAGAUGUCAAGAGGACAGCCAUCAAUGGAUGAUGAAACACAACUCCACUCCUAUCAGCCCCCCUGACAACAGUCAGUCCAGGCAGGCUCACCACACCUCGUGUCUCCGCUGACAUGACAGGCUUGUUGUAUAAUCAUUUUCCAAAGAAUAGACUAGAGUGUCAUUGUGCAACACGUAUACCGGCUGGAUCGAGGUCCUGGUCUCAGAUCAGUUUGUGCUGUAUAACCAACUCCUAUGGAUACAGAGCAAACAGAUCUGAUUUUCUCACCGUAGGGAUUAGACUGGAAUGAAGAUGUAUCGGCCAGUGGAGGCACCUCAGAGGAGGAAGGGGAGGACCAUCCUACUCAGACCUGAGCCCUAGGACCAUGCCUCAGGACUACCUGGCUUGAUGACUCCUUGCUGUCCCCAGCUCACCUGGCCGUGCUGCUGCUCCAGUUCUAACUGUUCUGCCUGCAGCUAUGGAACCCUGACCUGUUCACCGGACGUGCUACCUGUCCCAGACCUGUUGUCCCAGACCUGCUGGAACCCUGACCUAUUCACCGGACAUGCUACCUGUCCCAGACCUGCUGUUUUCAACUCUCUAGAGACAGCAGGAGCGGUAGAGAUACUCUCAAAGGUCGGCUAUGAAAAAGCCAACUGACACUUACUCUUGUGUUGCUGACUUGUUGCACCCUCGACAACUACUAUGAUUAUUAUUAUUUGACAAUGCUGGUCAUUUAUGAACAUUUGAACAUCUAGGCCAUGUGCUGUUAUAAUCUCCACCCGGCACAGCCAGAAGAGGACUGGCCACCCCUCAUAGCCUGGUUCCUCUCUAGGUUUCUUCCUAGGUUUUGGCCUUUCUAGGGAGUUUUUCCUAGCCACCGUGCUUCUACACCUGCAUUGCUUGCUGUUUGGGGUUUUAGGCUGGGUUUCUGUACAGCACUUUGAGAUAUCAGCUGAUGUAAGAAGGGCUAUAUAAAU